AUUGAACGCUGGCGGCAUGCUUUACACAUGCAAGUCGAACGGUAACAGGCCGCAAGGUGCUGACGAGUGGCGAACGGGUGAGUAAUGCAUCGGAACGUGCCCAGUCGUGGGGGAUAACGCAGCGAAAGCUGUGCUAAUACCGCAUACGAUCUAUGGAUGAAAGCGGGGGACCGUAAGGCCUCGCGCGAUUGGAGCGGCCGAUGUCAGAUUAGGUAGGUGGUGGGGUAAAGGCCCACCAAGCCAACGAUCUGUAGCUGGUCUGAGAGGACGACCAGCCACACUGGAACUGAGACACGGCCCAGACUCCGACGGGAGGCAGCAGUUGGGAAUUUUGGACAAUGGGCGCAAGCCUGAUCCAGCAAUGCCGCGUGCAGGAAGAAGGCCUUCGGGUUGUAAACUGCUUUUGUACGGAACGAAACGGUCUGGGUUAAUACCUCGGGCUAAUGACGGUACCGUAAGAAUAAGCACCGGCUAACUACGUGCCAGCAGCCGCCGUAAGAC
rnacentral:rRNA from 1 species